UAACAGUGCCUGUGAUAAGAGAGUUU
rnacentral:piRNA from 1 species